UUCGGGGUGAUGGGGACUCACAGGAGACUGCCGGGGUCAACUCGGAGGAAGGUGGGGACGACGUCAAGUCAUCAUGCCCCUUAUGUCUUGGGCUGCACACGUGCUACAAUGGCAGGUACAAUGAGCUGCGAAGCCGUGAGGCGGAGCGAAUCUCAAAAAGCCUGUCUCAGUUCGGAUUGGGGUCUGCAACUCGACCCCAUGAAGUCGGAGUUGCUAGUAAUCGCAGAUCAGCAUUGCUGCGGUGAAUACGUUCCCGGGCCUUGUACACACCGCCCGUCACGUCACGAAAGUCGGUAACACCCGAAG
rnacentral:rRNA from 1 species